rnacentral:antisense_RNA from 1 species
AAUAACCAAAUAUAACACCGGGAUUAAGGGCCAAAUUGGUAAUUUUUCUAAAUCCCCAUGAGAGCUCAGGUAUCAUAUACACCUCCAAAAUAAAGAGCCUUUCAGUACUAGAAGAACAAACACCUAGACCUGACAAAAUUAAGUGAAUACAUAAAAUUGUAGUCAUUUUAUUUCUAUCUUUCCA